rnacentral:rRNA from 1 species
ACUCCUACGGGAGGCAGCAGUGGGGAAUAUUGCACAAUGGGCGCAAGCCUGAUGCAGCCAUGCCGCGUGUGUGAAGAAGGCCUUCGGGUUGUAAAGCACUUUCAGUCGUGAGGAAGGUAGUGUAGUUAAUAGCUGCAUUAUUUGACGUUAGCGACAGAAGAAGCACCGGCUAACUCCGUGCCAGCAGCCGCGGUAAUACGGAGGGUGCGAGCGUUAAUCGGAAUUACUGGGCGUAAAGCGCAUGCAGGUGGUUUGUUAAGUCAGAUGUGAAAGCCCGGGGCUCAACCUCGGAAUAGCAUUUGAAACUGGCAGACUAGAGUACUGUAGAGGGGGGUAGAAUUUCAGGUAGUAGCGGUGAAAAUGCGUAGAGAUCUGAAGGAAUACCGGUGGCGAAGGCGGCCCCCUGGACAGAUACUGACACUCAGAUGCGAAAGCGUGGGG